GGCUAGGUGGCGCAAUGGCAGCGCUUUACUUUCCGGUGGUAAGGGUUCUGGGUUCGAGUCCCAGCCUGGUCG